AGGACCGCCACUGCUGUCGCCGCCGCUGCCAGAAUAACGGGGUCCCCGUAUUAACGUCACGCCGCCCGCGUCAGUGCAGUGGGGCCCGAUAACAGAACGUCAGUAGUGUGCGAGACACGCGCCGUGGUCCACCGUUUCGCCCGCACAUUAGGCGAAGACGUUUCGAUCUCGAUUUAGUCGUGUAGUCGUACAACAGCAGCUAUAGUGUAGUCGCAGCAGCCGCGCGAAAUUUUCACAGUAGCGAUUGCGUAGUUAUUUUUCAAUUAGACGCGAAAAAUCGUUAUCGCCCGCCGACAUUCGUCCCGGGUAGCCGCCUCCACAGCAGCCGCGGAAUGCCCGACGGUCGUCUUUCAGUAACGGAAAGUCGUCGGUUCGCGGUGAAUACACACACAGAGCCUGAGCAGACUAGUUCGAUCGAUCGGUUUCACAACGACGAUAGUAUUACCGUCGCGUCCACGGCGAUGUAGUACAGUACCCGGUGGUCGGUCAGAUUUUCGCUUUACCACUCCAUUCACAUUGAAAGUGUUACCCCGUUUUCGAGCAAAUAAAAUUAAUACGGUCGGUUGAAAAAUAUCGAUUAUUGUUUUCCCGCUUUUAAAAAAUAAAACAACUGCGCGUAAGUUCGACCCGGUCCGUCAGUCAUCAACGUAUUUUGGUAUUAAAUUGUAGGCGAUCGAAUUGAAAUCGUCGUCCACGACGGCGGACACCACCAUCCGCCUUGCCAUGCAUGCGAUGCUGGCAGCGUGGACGUUACUCGGCGUGGCCGCGUCGUCGGACCCUUGGCCGGCCGCUGCGUCUACCGUCGACGAGACAGCCGACUCGUACACAACCGCGUACCUGAACGUGACCAGCUACGACUUGGCCACGGGCGUCGUGGUUCAGACGGAAAAAUCAGAAAUCGGAAAGUUCGGCGAGUAUCACGUGGGGGCCGCGUCCGGGAUGCUGUUGCACGUGAUCGGCACAGACGGGGACCGCAACGGGUGUGCGCCCCCCGUCCACGGCGUCCAGGAACCGCCGGACGCCGGGCCCUGGAUAGCGCUGGUGCGCAGGGGCAAGUGCAGUUUCCAGACCAAAGUGGACAACGCGCGACGGGCUGGUGCCUCAGCCGUGAUCGUCUACAAUGACCGUGAAGCCACCGACCUCGACAAAAUGAAACUGAUGCCUUCCGAUCCCAGAAAUGUCAGUGCAGUUUUCACGUAUAAAUGGAAGGGCGAGGACAUGGCCCGAAUGUUGGACGACAUGACCAGGAGGGUGAUGGUGAAAAUCACAAUAGCCAGUCAUUGCACCAGGCCAUACGGUAACAUUAACAGAACUUCCGUAUUGUUUGUAAGCAUAUCAUUCAUAGUGCUUAUGGUCAUAUCUUUGGCAUGGCUUGUAUUCUACUACAUACAAAGGUUCCGGUAUAUACACGCUAAAGACCAACUGUCGAGACGAUUAUGUAAUGCGGCCAAAAAAGCGUUGUCCAAGAUACCUACCAAGCACAUCAAAAUGGAUGACAAGGAAAUCGUUGGUGAUGGUGACUGUUGUGCAGUGUGCAUUGAACCAUACAGACCGUCCGAGGUGGUUCGGAUACUGCCGUGCCGACAUGAAUUCCACAAAAGCUGUGUAGAUCCUUGGCUAUUAGAGCACCGAACUUGCCCAAUGUGCAAAAUGGACAUACUCAAGCAUUACGGGUUCUUGUUCACAGGCAGUCAAGAGAGUUUCCUGCACGUGGAAGUCGAAGAGGUGACCAACGAUUUCGACGUGUACCAGUACGCACGUGGUCGGAGUUUCAUGGACACGGCGCAAAAUUCGAGAACGAACCAGCAAUUUGAACCCCCCUACCCACGAAAAUUUAAAUCCGAGGCCGAAAUUACGUGUGAGUGUUGUGCGUGUGUGUGUGCGCAGAUACCGGACGUAGCCGCGGUGGCAGUGGCGGCGGCGGCAGCGGUCGUGUGCGAAUCGCCCGACAGUAGGUCGUCGACGCCCGACGAACUGACGCCCGCGCUGGCCCAACACGACGGCGGCGGCGCCGGCGGUGGCAGUGGCGACGGCCGUUCUACAGACGCCGCCACCAACUGCACAAUGGUCGCCGCCGGCACCAACCGAUCGACGUCAUUCGAAGAGCAGUCUCCGGUCCACUCUGUUAGCGUACCUACAACAGCUAAAUAGUCUGACGAUGGCCGACGCACUCACAAUCACGACUGUAUUUUAUUGAAUAACUAUACUUGUUAUUUUUAUAACAUACACCUGUUCCGCAAGACCGUUUCCGGAUAGCGUGUGUUUGUGUGCGUGUGUGCGUGGUUUAUACCACAGGAAUCCAAAACAAUAAUCGACUCUGAUUGGUGGCACAGCCGACUAGGUCCACUGCGACAGACGCGUUCUUCAGAUGGUUUCUGAAACAUCAAAACAAUGAUUCAGGACGGAUGUGAUACUAGGAAUUAAGAUGACUUAAACUUUGUAAUAGAAUGUAUCUUCAGUUUAAGUCUUAUUAUUAUAGAGAUUAGGAUUAGGUACAAAAAAAAAUAUAUUGUAUAAUUUAAUGAAAUUGACUUUUCAGUAUAAGUUAUUAAAGCCGUAUGAAUAAAC
rnacentral:misc_RNA from 1 species